UUUCCGUAGGUGAACCUGCGGAAGGAUCAUUCCUAAUAAGCGUUUUAUGGGACUUUUUUAAACCCGUCUCCACCCUGUGUGCAAGGUCAGGGUUGAUCUUUCUCUCGCGAGGAUCACCCCCAAACAGCAACUAUAUCUCAACACUUUGUCUGAAAAAUAUUAUGAAUAAAUCAAUGCAAAAUAAAACUUUCAACAAUGGAUCUCUUGGCUCUC
rnacentral:misc_RNA from 1 species